UACGGAGGGUGCAAGCGUUAUCCGGAUUUACUGGGUUUAAAGGGUGCGUAGGUGGGUCUGUAAGUCAGUGGUGAAAUCUUCAAGCUUAACUUGGAAACUGCCAUUGAUACUAUAGAUCUUGAAUUAUCUGGAGGUAAGCGGAAUAUGUCAUGUAGCGGUGAAAUGCUUAGAUAUGACAUAGAACACCCAUUGCGAAGGCAGCUUACUACGGAUUGAUUGACACUGAGGCACGAAAGCGAGGGGAUCAAACAGG
rnacentral:rRNA from 1 species